GUCAGAUCUAAGUAUAUGCAAACACUUACAUUUAUAAAUGGUAGCCCUCAAAGGCUGUAUUACUCUUUUUCCUUUUUAUCUUUUUAUAUAGUGGGUAUGUUCUUGAAGUUUUUUUUUUUUUUUUUGCUAAAUUGUAAAUGUCAUUAAGUCAAUAAUGAUGGUUUGAUUACAAGUUUGAGCCUGCAAUCCAGUUUGCUCGAGAGCCAAACCGAUGCUUA
rnacentral:lncRNA from 1 species